GAGCGAACGGGGAGGAGCCCAGAGCCUGAAUCAGUGUGUGUGUUAGUGGAAGCGUCUGGAAAGGCGCGCGAUACAGGGUGACAGCCCCGUACACAAAAAUGCACAUGCUGUGAGCUCGAUGAGUAGGGCGGGACACGUGGUAUCCUGUCUGAAUAUGGGGGGACCAUCCUCCAAGGCUAAAUACUCCUGACUGACCGAUAGUGAACCAGUACCGUGAGGGAAAGGCGAAAAGAACCCCGGCGAGGGGAGUGAAAAAGAACCUGAAACCGUGUACGUACAAGCAGUGGGAGCACAGAGCAAUCUGUGUGACUGCGUACCUUUUGUAUAAUGGGUCAGCGACUUAUAUUCUGUAGCAAGGUUAACCGAAUAGGGGAGCCGAAGGGAAACCGAGUCUUAACUGGGCGUUAAGUUGCAGGGUAUAGACCCGAAACCCGGUGAUCUAGCCAUGGGCAGGUUGAAGGUUGGGUAACACUAACUGGAGGACCGAACCGACUAAUGUUGAAAAAUUAGCGGAUGACUUGUGGCUGGGGGUGAAAGGCCAAUCAAACCGGGAGAUAGCUGGUUCUCCCCGAAAGCUAUUUAGGUAGCGCCUCGUGAAUUCAUCUCCGGGGGUAGAGCACUGUUUCGGCAAGGGGGUCAUCCCGACUUACCAACCCGAUGCAAACUGCGAAUACCGGAGAAUGUUAUCACGGGAGACACACGGCGGGUGCUAACGUCCGUCGUGAAGAGGGAAACAACCCAGACCGCCAGCUAAGGUCCCAAAGUCAUGGUUAAGUGGGAAACGAUGUGGGAAGGCCCAGACAGCCAGGAUGUUGGCUUAGAAGCAGCCAUCAUUUAAAGAAAGCGUAAUAGCUCACUGGUCGAGUCGGCCUGCGCGGAAGAUGUAACGGGGCUAAACCAUG
rnacentral:rRNA from 1 species